UGACCCGUGGUGUAACGGUAGCACUACAGAUUUUGAUUCUGUCUGUUAAGGUUCGAAUCCUUACGGGUCAACCA
rnacentral:tRNA from 1 species